rnacentral:rRNA from 1 species
ACGGGUAGCCGGCCUGAGAGGGCGACCGGCCACACUGGGACUGAGACACGGCCCAGACUCCUGCGGGAGGCAGCAGUGGGGAAUAUUGCGCAAUGGGCGAAAGCCUGACGCAGCGACGCCGCGUGGGGGAUGACGGCCUUCGGGUUGUAAACCUCUUUUACCACCAACGCAGGCUCGGAGUUUUCUUCGGGUUGACGGUAGGUGGGGAAUAAGGACCGGCUAACUACGUGCCAGCAGCCGCGGUAAUACGUAGGGUCCGAGCGUUGUCCGGAAUUAUUGGGCGUAAAGAGCUCGUAGGCGGCGUGUCGCGUCUGCUGUGAAAGACCGGGGCUUAACUCCGGUUCUGCAGUGGAUACGGGCAUGCUAGAGGUAGGUAGGGGAGACUGGAAUUCCUGGUGUAGCGGUGAAAUGCGCAGAUAUCAGGAGGAACACCGGUGGCGAAGGCGGGUCUCUGGGCCUUACCUGACGCUGAGGAGCGAAAGCAUGGGGAGCGAACAGGAUUAGAUACCCUGGUAGUCCAUGCCGUAAACGUUGGGCGCUAGGUGUGGGGACUUUCCACGGUUUCCGCGCCGUAGCUAACGCAUUAAGCGCCCCGCCUGGGGAGUACGGAA